AGGGGAUCUUCGGACCUUUCGCUAUGAGAUGAGCCUGCGUUAGAUUAGCUAGUUGGUAGGGUAAAGGCCUACCAAGGCGACGAUCUAUAGCUGGUCUGAGAGGACGAUCAGCCACACUGGGACUGAGACACGGCCCAGACUCCUACGGGAGGCAGCAGUGGGGAAUAUUGGACAAUGGGCGAAAGCCUGAUCCAGCAAUACCGCGUGUGUGAAGAAGGCCUUAGGGUUGUAAAGCACUUUCAAUUGGGAGGAAAACCUGUCGGUCAAUACCCGGCAGCUUGACAUUACCUUUAGAAGAAGCACCGGCUAACUCCGUGCCAGCAGCCGCGGUAAUACGGAGGGUGCGAGCGUUAAUCGGAAUUACUGGGCGUAAAGCGUGCGUAGGCGGUUCGUUAAGUCAGAUGUGAAAGCCCUGGGCUCAACCUGGGAACUGCAUUUGAAACUGGCGGACUAGAGUUUAGUAGAGGGGAGUGGAAUUUCAGGUGUAGCGGUGAAAUGCGUAGAUAUCUGAAGGAACACCAGUGGCGAAGGCGACUCCCUGGACUAGAACUGACGCUGAGGUACGAAAGCGUGGGUAGCAAACAGGAUUAGAUACCCUGGUAGUCCACGCCGUAAACGAUGUCGACUAGC
rnacentral:rRNA from 1 species